rnacentral:lncRNA from 1 species
UCAGUCUCAAUACAAUGAAUUUUCUUCUUUCUUAGUUCUCUCUUUUCAUGUUCAAACUCUCUCAAGUUACGUUCAUGGUAUCAGAGCCUUAUGCUUCACAGUGAGUACUGCUGAAGUUGGUGAUAUUAGAAUCAAAGAAUCACUGUUUUGAUUCACAGAUUCAUGUUUUGUUUCUGUUCCGCUUGUUGAAAGAGAUUUG